UACACAAUGAAUAAAAAAUUAAAAACGCCUGUUGUACCGCUGUUAAUUUAGGUUCUAUUGGACUCUUUUGAGGAUAAGCUCGAAAGCUGUUGGUGAGAACUAUAUAAUUUUAAAUUGCUGUGUGGGCCUAAAAUUAGCCAUCACAAAAGUUUGUUAUAAAAUAACAGAAACGCAUAAAAAGAUUAUUACAUGUAAUACCACGCAAAACUAUAAGAACAAUAACCUAAACUGAAGGGUUAGUAUGCCUAUGCUAGGAUGAGUAUUAUAACUAUCUGAGUUGAAUAGACAAUAUUUCCACAGAAAAUGUUUUUUAUAAAAAUUAAAGAGAAGGAAUUCGGCAAAUGUUGUUUCGCCUGUUUAUCAAAAACAUGGCUCUUUGGAAAAAACAUAUGAAGAGUCGAACCUGCCCGGUGAAAUUUUAACGGCCGCGGUACCCUGACCGUGCAAAGGUAGCAUAAUCAUUUGCCUUAUAAUUGAAGGCUGGCAUGAAUGGUCUGACGAGAGCAACACUGUCUCCUCUUUAUUAUCUAAAAAUUAACCUAUAGGUGAAGAGGCCUAUAUCAAAUUGAAGGACAAGAAGACCCUGUCGAGCUUAAAAGAAGAGUAGAAGCUAGCUAUUAAAGUAAAUCAAUAAAACUACACAGCUUUUUAGUUGGGGCGACUAAGGAACAAGUAAAGCUUCUUUUAUUUCCAUAAAUUUAUAGAUCUAGAUCCAGCAAAGCUGAUCAGAAGAAUUAGUUACCGCAGGGAUAACAGCAUAAUCUCCCUUGAGAGACCUAAUCGAAAGGGGGGAUUGUGACCUCGAUGUUGGACUAGAAUAUCCUGAAGAUGCAGACGUCU
rnacentral:rRNA from 1 species